ACAAACACACUACACACAUACACACGCACACACAUACACACACAUACGCACCAACAUACACCAACACAUACGCACACACAUACACACUACUCACACACAUACACACGCACACACAUACACACACACACACAUACGCACACACAUACACACAUACCACACGCACACAUACACACAAACAUACGCACACACAUACACACGCACACACUACACACAAACAUACCACAAACAUACGCACACACAUACACACGCACACCACAUACACACAAAAACAUACGCACACACAUACACACGCACACACAUACACACCCAAACAUACGCACACACAUACAACACAUACACACGCCAUACCAACAACACACAUACACACAAACAUACGCACACAAUACACACGCACACCAUACACACAAACAUCGCCAACCCAAAACCGCACACACUACACACAAACACACCAUACACACACACAUACGCACCACAUACACACGCACACACAUACACACCAACAUACGCCACAACCCACAUACACCGCACACACAUACACACAAACAUACGCACACACAUACACAACAACCCAUACGCACACACAUACACACAUACACACAACAUCACAUACACACGCACACACAUACACACAAACAUACGCACACACAUACACACGCACACACCAUACACACAAACAUACGCACCACACAUACACACUACACACGCACACACCCACAUCCACACAUACACACAUACACACAAAACAUACGCACAAACACAUACGCACACACAUACACACAAACAUACGCACACACAUACACACAUACACACAUACACACAUACACACGCCACACACAUACACACAAAACAUACGCACCACAUUACACACUACACACGCACACACAUACACACGCACACACAUACACACAAACAUACGCACACACAUACACACAUACACACAAACACACAUACAUACGCACACACAUACACACAUACAUACGCACACACAAACAUAUGCACACACAUGUCCUGCUACGCACACACGGUCUGUCUCACUUCCCAGCCGACAGAGAUAGUGACUUUGUCCUUGAGACGUACUCCCCGUUCUCUCCCAAAUCUCUAGUCAGGUCGGCACUGAGCUCUGACAGUCUGUGUUUGAAAUACCAUAAAGGCAUAUUGUUUUACCCUAAUUCUGACUAG
rnacentral:lncRNA from 1 species